AACGAACGUUAGCGGCGCGCCUAACACAUGCAAGUCGCACGAGAAAGGGAGCAAUCCCCGGUACAGUGGCGCACGGGUGAGUAACACGUAGGUAAUCUGCCUCCGAGUGGUGGAUAACCUUCCGAAAGGAGGGCUAAUACAGCAUGAGACCACGACCACGAGAGUGGAUGGGGUCAAAGCCGGCCUCUAUACAUAAGCUGGCGCUUGGAGAUGAGCCUGCGGCCCAUCAGCUAGUUGGUAGGGUAAUGGCCUACCAAGGCAAAGACGGGUAGCUGGUCUGAGAGGAUGAUCAGCCACACUGGAACUGAGACACGGUCCAGACUCCUACGGGAGGCAGCAGUGGGGAAUCUUGCGCAAUGGGCGAAAGCCUGACGCAGCGACGCCGCGUGGGUGACGAAGGCCUUCGGGUUGUAAAGCCCUGUGGGGGGAGAAGGAAUAAAGUGGGUGCGAAUAGCACACAUGAUGACGGUAUCCCCUUAGCAAGCACCGGCUAACU
rnacentral:rRNA from 1 species